rnacentral:rRNA from 1 species
CAGUAGCCACGGUAAUACGGAGGGCGCGAGCGUUACCCGGAUUUACUGGGCGUAAAGGGCGUGUAGGCGGCCUGGGGCGUCCCAUGUGAAAGGCCACGGCUCAACCGUGGAGGAGCGUGGGAUACGCUCAGGCUAGAGGGUGGGAGAGGGUGGUGGAAUUCUCGGAGUAGCGGUGAAAUGCGCAGAUACCGGGAGGAACGCCGAUGGCGAAGGCAGCCACCUGGUCCACUUCUGACGCUGAGGCGCGAAAGCGUGGGGAGCAAACCGGAUUAGAUACCCCCGUAGUCCCUGUCUCUUAUAC